GCCGCAUCAUCGACGCUUUCUGCGAAAACCGGAACCUAUCGGACCCCUCUACCAUCUCCGCUGCUUUCUCUGACGGUAAGGCUCAGCUCGAAGUCGCUAAAAGACAAGCCACCGUCUACUCUCUCUACGCCCCCAAAAUCAAGAGCGUCAUGGAAACCAAUUCCUUUUCUUCUGUUUCUAAUUAGAUAAAAUAUGGAAAGAAAAAGAACCCUCUCGUCCACAAUGAUGAUGGGUAUUUUUUUUUUUUUUUGAACUUAAUUUUAC
rnacentral:misc_RNA from 1 species